rnacentral:lncRNA from 1 species
CUAAAAAUGUAUAUUUUUAUGUUACUAGACUUUAUAUACAAAUUUUGUAGCAUUUUGGUUUUUGAUUUUUGAAAUAUAGAAAAAAUAGUACUCAAGUACUUAUAAAUUAGGGUAUAAAGUACUUACUAGGAUGUUUAAGAUGCUAGACGAUAUCUAGUAGAUUUAUGGUCCAUUUUUUUAUAAUAAAGUUAUAGGAUAAAGUCUAAAUUAUCUAGAAAUUUGAAAAAAACUAAAAAAUUGGAUCAAGAG